rnacentral:piRNA from 1 species
UGAAGCUGCAGAGAUGAAUCU